UACGUAGGGGGCAAGCGUUGUCCGGAAUCAUUGGGCGUAAAGCGCGUGUAGGCGGCUCGAUAAGUCUGCUGUGAAAGUCCAGGGCUCAACCCUGGGAUGCCGGUGGAUACUGUCGAGCUCGAGUCCGGAAGAGGCGAGUGGAAUUCCUGGUGUAGCGGUGAAAUGCGCAGAUAUCAGGAGGAAUACCGGUGGCGAAGGCGGCCUUCUGGACGGUGACUGACGCUGAGACGCGAAAGCGUGGGGAGCAAACAGG
rnacentral:rRNA from 1 species